GAACCAUCAAUCUUCCGCUGGGUUUCACGUCGACGCUGAAACAUGGUAGCAACAGCCGAGACGUAACUUUGAUCAUGCUAACGCAGGAAAACUUUAACGUAGGGGUCCGAGGUUCCUCCCAUGUCCAUGGCAGCGAGGUCCUGAGCCUGGAGGAUCCCCACUAUCAGCUUCAGCAGAAAGAAAAACGAAUCAAACGUGACGAUACAGCUGAAAACUGGAAGUUAUUCAUGCAUCAGUGAGUUCUUACGGAUUAGGGAUGCAAGUUAUCGUUCAAUGAGGAAACGUCUCUCCGUGAUUCAUCGUGGAACAGCAGACGAGGUGAGACUGGCUGCGGAGCGAAAAUCAACCCACCUUUUCUCCG